GACUCUCGGCAACAGAUAUCUAGGCUCUUGCAUCGAUUAAGAACGUAGCAAAAUGCGAUACUUGGUGUGAAUUGCAGAAUCCCGUGAACCAUCGAGUCUUUGACAUUAUUUGUUUCAAAAUAAUGACAUUAUUUUUUGUAAAA
rnacentral:rRNA from 1 species